AUUUCAUAUUUUGACUGAAAUAGUAGGCCUGCUGCUUGCUUUCCUGAGGUGAAUAAAGAUGGAUAAAUGUUGCUUCAGAUAAUAAAAAUGGUUUUUCCUUUUCACAAAGACGAAGGAGCUGGUGAUAGUAUUACUUUGAGAAAUUGAGCUAACUUGAACAAAUAGGAAUAUCCGAUUGAGCUGGCACCCAUUUGAUCAAAUUGGGGGAUUUGAUUGAGCAAUCAAAGAUCUUUGAAGGAUUGAGCUCCGGUGUGAUUGUGGAAUCCCUGAAGGUGGUUAGCUUGCAAGGAUUUGCCUCAAUUUUGGAGCCUAACCUCUGCAAAAUUCAAGAUGGUUUCAGACUGACUGUUUCCAAACUUCACAAAUAGGUUGGCAUCACUACACCAAAAAUCUUAUCAGAGAACGGUAGAAAACCGUUGUGAGAUUUGGAGGGCUACCGUUGUAGACCGAGCCGUUGUCUGAUGAAAAUUCAGACAACGGUAGAACACAGUUGUGUAAGAAACACAUAGACAACAGGUAUGUGUUAUAACUGUUGUGUGAUAGCUUGGCAGCUGGCUCGGCAUAUUCCAAGCGCAGCUGCACACAGGGGCGGAGCCACAUGGGGACCCAGUGGGUCCCGUGCCCCACUGACUUAUAUAUUUUUUUUCAAUUUCUGUACAUGAAAACUUGCUUAAAUAAUCUAGAGUAUGUUAAUAU